rnacentral:rRNA from 1 species
GUCAGCUAGAGUCUUGUAGAGGGGGGUAGAAUUCCAUGUGUAGCGGUGAAAUGCGUAGAGAUGUGGAGGAAUACCGGUGGCGAAGGCGGCCCCCUGGACAAAGACUGACGCUCAGGUGCGAAAGCGUGGGGAGCAAACAGGAUUAGAUACCCUGGUAGUCCACGCUGUAAACGAUGUCGAUUUGAAGGUUGUUCCCUUGAGGAGUGGCUUUCGGAGCUAACGCGUUAAAUCGACCGCCUGGGGAGUCCGGCCGCAAGGUCAAAAUCAUAGGAAUUGACG